rnacentral:rRNA from 1 species
UACAGAGGUCUCAAGCGUUGUUCGGAUUCAUUGGGCGUAAAGGGUGCGUAGGUGGCGCGCUAAGUCAGGUGUGAAAUUUCGGAGCUUAACUCCGAAACUGCAUUUGAUACUGCCUCGCUUGAGUACUGGAGAGGAGACUGGAAUUUACGGUGUAGCAGUGAAAUGCGUAGAUAUCGUAAGGAAGACCAGUGGCGAAGGCGAGUCUCUGGACAGUUACUGACGCUGAGGCACGAAGGCCAGGGGAGCAAACGGG